UACGCCCACAUCACGUUCAAACACUGGUUCCCGUACGAUCACCGAAGUUACGCAACGUUGAGGUUGGUCAGUACCUAGAUGAGUAACCGCUUGGGAAUACCAGGUGUUGUAAG